AUUGAACGCUGGCGGCAUGCUUUACACAUGCAAGUCGAACGGCAGCGGGGUAGUGCUUGCACUACUGCCGGCGAGUGGCGAACGGGUGAGUAAUAUAUCGGAACGUACCGAGUAAUGGGGGAUAACCAAUCGAAAGAUUGGCUAAUACCGCAUACGUCCUGAGGGAGAAAGCUGGGGAUCGCAAGACCUCGCGUUAUUCGAGCGGCCGAUAACUGAUUAGCUAGUUGGUGGGGUAAAGGCCUACCAAGGCGACGAUCAGUAGCGGGUCUGAGAGGACGAUCCGCCACACUGGGACUGAGACACGGCCCAGACUCCUACGGGAGGCAGCAGUGGGGAAUUUUGGACAAUGGGGGCAACCCUGAUCCAGCCAUGCCGCGUGUAUGAAGAAGGCCUUCGGGUUGUAAAGUACUUUUGUUAGGGAAGAAAAGGGAAGUGCUAAUACCACUUUUUGCUGACGGUACCUAAAGAAUAAGCACCGGCUAACUACGUG
rnacentral:rRNA from 1 species